UUUUCAGGCAGUGUGAUACGAUCAUUCCGGCGGGCUGCUUCUUAACACAAUUUGGGCGUAUUCUACUCUGCUGUAUCUCCAACAACAGUAAUGUGUGUUUGCUGUCUAGUCGAUACACAGUAACCACUGGAAAAUGCCUGUGCGCGCGCGCACACACACACACACACACACACACACACACACACACACACACACACACACACACACACACACACACACACACACACACACACACACACACACACACACACACACACACACACACACACACACACACACACACACACACUCGCUUGCCCAGAGGACAAUAACAAAGCAGGCAUCGCAACACGUCAACCAUCCACACAUCCCCGGACUGCAGGUAUUCUUCCCGUAAGCAGAGGCUUAAAAAACACACACGCACGUACACACACACACACAGCACACAAAAUGCACGUGCUCCAUAGGCUCAGUUCCCAACACAGUAUUUCCUGAAAACGAAGACCGCCAGAAUGUGUGCUGCGGCCUGACCCAAGGGUCACACGUGAGUUGGAGCCUGUCCCGGCUGACGUUGGGAAAGAGGCGGGUUGCAUUCUGCGUUGGUUCGGGGAGAAAAAGCCAAACCCUUGCAACAGGGAGGCGAGAAUCCAACGGUGAGGUAGAUGUGCCACCGGGCAUUGGCUCCUGAUUGUUUCAACUCCGACUAAAUGUACAAAACUCGGACGAAAAAAAAAAACUAUAAGACAUAAGCAUGCUUUCCCCAGUAGUUCUGCUGAACCAAAUAAAAAUACUAAUUAAAAAAAGCACAUUGGUGUGUUUUGGAAUAUUCCAAGAUAACACAUUUUAAAAACUAGCUCUUUUUUAAUGUGUUUUAAAAAUAAAAUACUGACUCGCUGAAUACCGAUUUGACUUGAUACCGCGAUAACUGCAAGAAAGAAUAUGGAUGAAAUCUAUUUAUUGUCGCGUCUUAUAAUCAACCAAUCCACAUGUAAGCAUGUAAGAAAAAUGGCGGAAACCAAACUGCAAUGUCUUCUUCUUUUUUUUUAAACAUAAUCAUAAAAUAUAAAUACAGAAAGAUAUCAUGUUCCAAUCUGUUUUACAGAUGAAUUCAUUUUUACUUUCAUGUGUACGUGCAACGCACCUUCCAUUUGUUGCUUGGAAAGAUUUUCCAUCGCGAUGUAUUUGUUAAAAACAGAUUUUUAAAAUGUUAUUUAAUGUCAUAUAUAAAUAGAAAUACACAAUAUAAUCUGAUCUUAUUUUUCACUGUUCGAGGACACAUCAGCAAACGAUGUAAUUGAUGCAUUUAUUUAUUUUUUCAUUGUUUUGUUUACGACUUCUUCCCCCCCCCCCUACCCCUUCAUAUCCAAACCUUGUUCAUUUUUCACUCUCCUCCACAGUAUCGGUGAUUCCUAUUUUUCCAGAUUCUAAAAAUUGCUGGCUUCCCCGAUUGUCUUUCUUCUAAGUUUGACCUCCUCUCGGGCAGGUUAACGAGCCAACAUGUUUUCUAUCCCCAUUUGGAUAUUUGCAAAGGGGAGGGUCGCCACAGACUAGCUCUGUCGACAGGCCGUCCAUUCAUCUCCAGGGGCCGGAACAACAGAGGGGGCUUUCUGACGGAGCGCCGGCACCUGGCCGCCGAUGGACGCAACAUCAGAGGUCGGGUGGAGGCGGCGGCGGCGGCGGCGGCACCGGUUGCCACACCUGAAUAAACCCUCCUCCUCUUCCAACCUUGUACUCACAUCGAGACCACCCCCCCCCCCCUCACCAACCACAUCAAAUGGUGUGAAAUCCUGCGAGUACGAGAGGCGAGCCAAAGGCGGUGCGGAGGAAGCCUUCAGCCGUUGGCCUGUACAAACAGGCCACUCAGGUGCUGCUGCACACUGCACUUUUCAUCCAGGGGGGAGGGCAGGCGAGAAGAUGGAAGUGUAUUUAUCCAGGUGUCGGCGCUAAUGUCAUAUCAGAGAGGGGCGGGGUCGACGGGUGGGGGGUAGGGGCCACCUCACAGGGACAGGCCAGCAUCUAUGUUCAAGUUGAGACUCUUCCAAGUAGAAAGUUACGGUGGGCAUUCAUUUUCAUUUUGUCAGCGUCGUGACCUGCCAUUCAAUGCACCUUACACGUGGCGGCAAAGUUCUUUUAUUUUUCCAAGAAGUCACAAAUUGUCAAAGUACUCUUAGAGGAAAGACCCUUUUCAUCAUGUUGCCGCACUUCUCGAUGGCAGAAGACAGUUUGCCACAUGCUCAUUGAUGACUAAACUGGCUUUUUCGGUGCGCCGGAUUAAUGGUACAGAUGUGCGCCUUUGACACCGACAUGGACUGCGUGAUGAUGUUAGCUAGCAGGUUAGCUCUUAUCCAUCCAGCCAUCCAUCCACUUUCCGAUCCGCUUCAUCCUCACAAGGGUCGCGGGGGGAUGCUGGAGCCUAUCCCAGCUAUCUUGGGGCAGUAGGCGGGGGACACCCUGAACCGGUUGCCAGACGAUCGCAGGGCACACAGAGACGAAUAAGCAUCAGCGCUCACAAUCACAUCUCGGGACAAUUUAGAGUGUUCCGUAAACCUGCUGUGCAUGUUUUUGGAAUGUGGGAGGAAACCGGAGAAACCCGGAGAAAACCCACGCAGGCCUGGGGAGAACAUCCCAUACUCCACACAGGGAGGCCAGAAUUGAACCCUGCACCUUUGGGGGUUAGCUAAUACGUUUCGCAAAAUGCAAAGGCAACAAAACAUUUUCUACACAGCCUACAUGUAAGAAAAUGGCGGCUUGGUUGCCCCGCUGUCCUUUUAAGAAAUGGGUACUCCUUGAAAUCUUCCCUGCCCAGCACUAUGCAAUUGAUUCAUCUUCCUUGAUCACCGGUUCCACUACUAUUAUUUAUUUUGAAUUCAUUUGGGAAAUUUGAUGAAAUAAAUGAACUUUUUGCGGUUAAUGCGGUAGUGGAAGCACAAACACAUAGCAGGUAUAGCUAUCGUUGAACAGAGAUGCUUGUCCCGUCCCAAAUGUUUGUCAAAAGGAGACAACGCGCACGGUUUGAAAGGACCCUCGCCGCACACAUUGUGUCCCCCCCCCUUCCCCGCCGGACGGAACGCCGUAUGCUGGCACCGCCCCCGCCGUGCUGUGGCUAUCACGGUACAGUGUACAAGACAAGCAUACAGAGGCGACGCGGACAAAAAGUCAAUUUGUUCACAGCAACGGCCGCACAAAAGGCGCCAGUUGCUCGGCAGAGACGGGGGGCCCCCCCGCUUUAAAGAGGCCGGGGGCCCGUGAUGCAUGCGUCUCUGGCCUCCAGUCCCUCCCGUGGCGCUGCGACGGUGCCUUUUCAUUAUUUAUCUCCGGCCAGCUCGGGAGAGGGGAAACUAAUUAAGAGCUGCCUGCAGGUGGGCCGCUGCAGGCUUUUACAGGUCUGAGGAUGAGGAGGAGGACUGACCACCGCAGGUCACGGGAGGACAGUGCCACAACAGGGUUUGAGUGAAGACAUGGAAGAAGAGGGUUUAGGUUUGUGACGGAGGCCGAGCAACUCACUCGUUAAAGACACAAAAUUUGGGAAAAACUCCAUCAACUGUCCAACACAUGUAGACUUGAAAUCGGUAAAUUCAUUAGAAUAAAUAAAGAAAUUUGGAACAGCCUGUAUGAGCUUCCAAACCCUAGGCAAGAGUCGAAAAAUUGUCCUGUAAAUGUCAUGGGCUCAUUUCAAGUGCCUCCACCACACGCAAAAAAAUAAAUAAAUAAAAAUAUGUGAGAUAAUUGACGGUAGAAAAAUAAAUAAACCAAUUUAAUAUUGAUAAUAAUGAUAAGAAGAAAAAGAAAAGUUCAAAUAUAAAUAUUUUAACAAAAUUAGACAUAAUUGUGUUUUAAAAAGAGAAAUAAAAACGAAAAUGUGUUUGUAUUGUAUAUAUGUUUUUUGUUUUUUUUUUUCAAAAAUGGUUGGGGAGUAAAAAUUGUUUCAACAGCCCAAAAAAACAUGAAAAUUAAACCACAAUGACUUUGCAGUAGUAGUCUUACUAGGAAAAAAAAACAA